UAGAGCACAACCUUGCCAAGGUUGGGGUCGCGAGUUCGAAUCUCGUCUUUCGCU
rnacentral:tRNA from 1 species